GUCGACAGAGAAAAAGCGACGGAGAGAUGAAGGAAGAGAUCAGCGGCGGCGAGAUCUCAAGGGUGACAGAGAGAUGAAAGAAGAGACAUCAGCUUCCUUAAAGAGAAACGAGAUACAACAGAUGUUCGCCACAUCAUGCGAACUAACACGUUCUGUCGUUGGAAUUUCUACGCGUUGAAGGAGAAUAACUAACAAUUUAUGUGGGGCAGCGAGAGAUCUCAAGGGUGAUGAUGAAGAAGAAGAUGAUGAUGAUGAUGAUGAAUCAAAGAAAUAGAAAACUAAUCGGAGAAGAAAAAGAUGAUGGUGAUGAUGAAUCGAAGAAGACCAAAAAAAAUGAAGAAUCGAAGAAGAAUUGAAGAAGAAGAAGGGUUAGGCGGCUAGGAAUAUUAGGUUAGGGUUUUUUUUUGUUUUUUUCGGUUAACCGGUCGGUUCGGGCGAACCGAACCGAAAAAUCUCGGUUAACCGAAAUAAUUUUAUGUCUUUCCGAUCGGUUUGACCUAAUUAAUAGAAACCGAACUGAUUUGCCCAAAUCUCGGUUCGGU
rnacentral:lncRNA from 1 species